GUGCGGCAAUGUCUAAAUCGAUAGGAUCAGAUAUAAUCAACCUGAUUUUUGACUCUUUCGGACCUGAUCCAUCCAAUCAAAAUAUCUAUCUGCUAUGUCAUCUACAUCAUUAUGUACCUUGAAAGCUCAUGCAGCUACAUGGUGUCACAAACAGGAAUAAGUACUUCAUACAUCGGGUUAGAUGUUGUUUAAGUUUUUAGCUCAGCAUUUGUGGAUCCA
rnacentral:lncRNA from 1 species